rnacentral:rRNA from 1 species
AACGAACGCUGGCGGCAGGCUUAACACAUGCAAGUCGAGCGCCCCUCACGGGGAGCGGCAGACGGGUGAGUAACGCGUGGGAACGUACCCUUUUCUACGGAAUAACCCAGGGAAACUUGGACUAAUACCGUAUGUGCCCUUCGGGGGAAAGAUUUAUCGGAAAAGGAUCGGCCCGCGUUGGAUUAGCUAGUUGGUGGGGUAAAGGCCUACCAAGGCGACGAUCCAUAGCUGGUCUGAGAGGAUGAUCAGCCACAUUGGGACUGAGACACGGCCCAAACUCCUACGGGAGGCAGCAGUGGGGAAUAUUGGACAAUGGGCGCAAGCCUGAUCCAGCCAUGCCGCGUGAGUGAUGAAGGCCUUAGGGUUGUAAAGCUCUUUCACCGGUGAAGAUAAUGACGGUAACCGGAGAAGAAGCCCCGGCUAACUUCGUGCCAGCAGCCGCCGUAAUAC